GACGAACGCCGGCGGCGUGCUUAACACAUGCCAGUCGAACGGAAAGGCCCUGCUUUUGUGGGGUGCUCGAGUGGCGAACGGGUGAGUAACACGUGAGUAACCUGCCCUUGACUUUGGGAUAACUUCAGGAAACUGGGGCUAAUACCGGAUAGGAGCUCCUGCUGCAUGGUGGGGGUUGGAAAGUUUCGGCGGUUGGGGAUGGACUCGCGGCUUAUCAGCUUGUUGGUGGGGUAGUGGCUUACCAAGGCUUUGACGGGUAGCCGGCCUGAGAGGGUGACCGGCCACAUUGGGACUGAGAUACGGACCAGACUGCAACGGGAGGCAGCAGUGGGGAAUAUUGCACAAUGGGCGGAAGCCUGAUGCAGCAACGCCGCGUGCGGGAUGACGGCCUUCGGGUUGUAAACCGCUUUCGCCUGUGACGAAGCGUGAGUGACGGUAAUGGGUAAAGAAGCACCGGCUAACUACGUG
rnacentral:rRNA from 1 species